UACGUAGGGGGCUAGCGUUGUCCGGAUUUAUUGGGCGUAAAGAGCGUGUAGGCGGCCAGGUAGGUCUGCUGUGAAAACUCGAGGCUCAACCUCGAGAUGUCGGCGGAAACCGUCUGGCUAGAGUCCGGAAGAGGAGAGUGGAAUUCCCGGUGUAGCGGUGAAAUGCGCAGAUAUCGGGAAGAACACCCGUGGCGAAGGCGGCUCUCUGGGACGGUACUGACGCUGAGGCGCGAAAGCGUGGGGAGCGAACAGG
rnacentral:rRNA from 1 species